AGCGGCGAGCGAACGGGGAGCAGCCCAGAGCCUGAAUCAGUGUGUGUGUUAGUGGAAGCGUCUGGAAAGGCGCGCGAUACAGGGUGACAGCCCCGUACACAAAAAUGCACAUGCUGUGAGCUCGAUGAGUAGGGCGGGACACGUGGUAUCCUGUCUGAAUAUGGGGGGACCAUCCUCCAAGGCUAAAUACUCCUGACUGACCGAUAGUGAACCAGUACCGUGAGGGAAAGGCGAAAAGAACCCCGGCGAGGGGAGUGAAAAAGAACCUGAAACCGUGUACGUACAAGCAGUGGGAGCACGCUUAGGCGUGUGACUGCGUACCUUUUGUAUAAUGGGUCAGCGACUUAUAUUCUGUAGCAAGGUUAACCGAAUAGGGGAGCCGAAGGGAAACCGAGUCUUAACUGGGCGUUAAGUUGCAGGGUAUAGACCCGAAACCCGGUGAUCUAGCCAUGGGCAGGUUGAAGGUUGGGUAACACUAACUGGAGGACCGAACCGACUAAUGUUGAAAAAUUAGCGGAUGACUUGUGGCUGGGGGUGAAAGGCCAAUCAAACCGGGAGAUAGCUGGUUCUCCCCGAAAGCUAUUUAGGUAGCGCCUCGUGAAUUCAUCUCCGGGGGUAGAGCACUGUUUCGGCAAGGGGGUCAUCCCGACUUACCAACCCGAUGCAAACUGCGAAUACCGGAGAAUGUUAUCACGGGAGACACACGGCGGGUGCUAACGUCCGUCGUGAAGAGGGAAACAACCCAGACCGCCAGCUAAGGUCCCAAAGUCAUGGUUAAGUGGGAAACGAUGUGGGAAGGCCCAGACAGCCAGGAUGUUGGCUUAGAAGCAGCCAUCAUUUAAAGAAAGCGUAAUAGCUCACUGGUCGAGUCGGCCUGCGCGGAAGAUGUAACGGGGCUAAACCAUGCACCGAAGCUGCGGCAGCGACACUAUGUGUUGUUGGGUAGGGGAGCGUUCUGUAAGCCUGUGAAGGUGUGCUGUGAGGCAUGCUGGAGGUAUCAGAAGUGCGAAUGCUGACAUAAGUAACGAUAAAGCGGGUGAAAAGCCCGCUCGCCGGAAGACCAAGGGUUCCUGUCCAACGUUAAUCGGGGCAG
rnacentral:rRNA from 1 species